rnacentral:rRNA from 1 species
UGCAACCUGCCCGAUACCGGGGUAUAGCCCAUGGAAACGUGGAUUAACGCCCCAUAGUACUUUUAUCCUGCAUGGGAUAGGAGUUAAAUGUUCAAGGUAUCGGAUGGGCAUGCGUCCUAUUAGUUAGUUGGCGGGGUAACAGCCCACCAAGACGAUGAUAGGUAGGGGUUCUGAGAGGAAGGUCCCCCACAUUGGAACUGAGACACGGUCCAAACUCCUACGGGAGGCAGCAGUGAGGAAUAUUGGUCAAUGGACGAGAGUCUGAACCAGCCAAGUCGCGUGAGGGAAGACUGCCCUAUGGGUUGUAAACCUCUUUUAUAAGGGAAGAAUAAGUUCUACGUGUAGAAUGAUGCCUGUACCUUAUGAAUAAGCAUCGGCUAACUCCGUGCCAGCAGCCGCGGUAAUACGGAGGAUGCGAGCGUUAUCCGGAUUUAUUGGGUUUAAAGGGUGCGUAGGCGGUUUAUUAAGUUAGUGGUUAAAUAUUUGAGCUAAACUCAAUUGUGCCAUUAAUACUGGUAAACUGGAGUACAGACGAGGUAGGCGGAAUAAGUUAAGUAGCGGUGAAAUGCAUAGAUAUAACUUAGAACUCCGAUAGCGAAGGC